AAUUUCAGCUCGUCGCUUGGCUUGCUCGGCUAUUUCGGAAAGCUCGCCACCAUAACUGAUUUUAUCAGAAACAAUGUUGCUGGUUUGAGGUGGUUGAAGACCAUGAAUAGUUCUUUGUGAGGUUCGGUGAGGACGAUGUCGGAAGCACUCCUGGCUGCAUCAGUUGCAUCAGCAACAGCAAUUCCAAUAUCUGCCUUUUUUAGUGCAGGAGCAUCAUUUACGCCAUCUCCAGUCAUUCCACAAAUAUGUUUUUUCUCUUGUAACCUUCUCACAAUUUCAUAUUUGUGUUCUGCCACAUGCAAAUAAGCUUAGCAAAGCAAUGUGAGACAAUGCAUUUUCUAUAGGAGAACUUUAUAGGUAACCAAACA